rnacentral:lncRNA from 1 species
AGUGAAUUCUUGAAGCAAGGUGCUUGUCUGAGUAUCUGAGGACAGAGUGGAAUUUUCCAGACCUUCUUGAACCGGACCAGUGGAUGCCUGUGUGGUUUUGAAUCAAAUCUGCUGAUGCUUAUGAAUCUUGCUGGUAUAGAAGCCUGCCAUUCACUACUGUAGGGAUGAUCCCCAUGUGGAGAAACUGACAAAAGCCUUUUUUCUGGGGUGGAGCUGGAAGUUACUCCUAACUAUCUCAGUGUUAAAGCAGGAGGGGAUGAGGAGAAAUUCUUGAAAAUGCUGCCACAUCAAAACCAACUUCUUAUAGAAUGCCACAGUAAAGAGUGGACUUCUCAGGACAACCCACUUAGUAUAGAUUCUCAGAUUCUGAAACAAUUUUGAAAUACUUUCAAUACUCUAAAUUACAGGCGGGAAUCAUUAUUUUGUUUAAUACCUGCUGACAAGAAGUAAAAGCACUUUUUUUUUUUUCUUUUUUUGAGACACAGUCUCACUCUCCAACUCAGGCAGGAGUGCAGUGGCAUUAUCUCAGCUCAAUGCAACAUCUGUCUCCUGGGUUCAAGCCAUUCUCCUGCCUCGCCUCCUGAUUAGCUGGGAUUACAAGCAUGUGCCACCAUGCCUGGCUAAUUUUUGUAUUUUUAGUGGAAACUGGGUUUCACCAUGUUGGCCAGGCUGGUCUCAAACUCCUGACCUCAGGUGAUCCACCCACUUCCCAAAGUGCUGGGAUUACAGGCAUGAGCCACCAUGCCUGGCAAAAGCACAUUUUAAAAAGUGUAUUAAAUACUUAGUCAAGAAAAGGAAACAAAAUUGAAUAAGUGCUCCCU